AUUGAACGCUGGCGGCAGGCCUAACACAUGCAAGUCGAGCGAGCGGCGGACGGGUGAGUAAUGUCUGGGAAACUGCCUGAUGGAGGGGGAUAACUACUGGAAACGGUAGCUAAUACCGCAUACCAUCAGAUGUGCCCAGAUGGGAGUAGAUAGUGGGUGGGGUAAAGGCUCACCUAGGCGACCAUCCCUAGCUGGUCUGAGAGGAUGACCAGCCAAACUGGAACUGAGGCACGGUCCAGACUCCUACGGGAGGCAGCAGUGGGGAAUAUUGCACAAUGGGCGGAAGCCUGAUGGAGCCAUGCCGCGUGUGUGAAGAAGGCCUUCGGGUUGUAAAGCACUUUAAGCGGGGAGGCGUUACCCGCAGGAGAAGCACCGGCUAACUCCGUGCCAGCAGCCGCGGUAAUAC
rnacentral:rRNA from 1 species